rnacentral:rRNA from 1 species
GGAGCUCCCCCAUUUCUAUAAGAUUGUAUUAGGGUUGAAUGAAGCUUUGUUUAUAUAUUGAUAAUGACAGUAUAUAUAUCGUGUCUUGACUAAUUGCGUGCCAGCAGUCGCGGUAAUACGUAAGAGACUAGUGUUAUUCAUCUUAAUUAGGUUUAAAGGGUACCCAGACGGUCAAUAUAGCUUCUAAAAUGUUAGUACUUGACUAGAGUUUUAUGUAAGAGGGCAGUACUUGAGGAGGAGAGAUGAAAUUCCGUGAUACCAAAGGGACUCUGUAAAGGCGAAGGCAGCCCUCUAUGUAAAAACUGACGUUGAAGGACGAAGGCACAAAGAACAAACAGGAUUAGAUACCCAAGUAGUCUUUGCAGUAAAUGAUGAAUGCCAUAGGUCAAAUUAAUGUAGAUGAGGGACUAGACAUUAAACGUUAUUUGGUCUAUAAAUGAAAGUGUAAAACCCUUCCACCUCAAGAGUAAUGGUGC